GUGGGCAAGGCAUACUCAACCGGUGACAGUAAUGUAACACAUUCUGGGUGUUUUCCACUGACCGUCUGUAACCCGAGCGCUGCCACUUUAAUGCUAAAAGCUGCUCGGGUUACCAGUCAGGAAGCCUCCCAUUAGUGCAAAUGUUAGGCGAUAUGGUCUGUGUGUGAGAAAGAGAAAGAGUCAGGGGGUUUGUUGGAGGGUGGGGGAUGGCUCAACUAAACUUUCAGGACAAUUUACAACUGGAGGCAGACAGGUUGAUCUUCUUCUGCAGUUGCUCCAUUUCCAUGCCUCUUAGGCCUUGCAUUAAUGCAUGAGAAGACAUGCAGGGAAAGUAUUCACCCUGCUCUACAGCAGGCAUGUGAGCCUGACUGGUUUCAAGGAAAACCUUAACACAAGGAAUGCGAUAGUUGAAGCUCCAGGAUAUGUCUGUGCGUGGAGGGUCCCGAAGCACUGACUCCUGCUGCAAUUAACAAGUUGUGAAUCUCUCCAAAACUACUGUAAGAGAUCUGCUUUGCCAUCCUCUCAAGACUGUUGUUAUCCCUGUUGCUUGUGCACCUUUUUCUACCCUACAUUUUCCUUCCACUUAACUUUCCAUUAACAUGCUUGGAUACAGCAAACUUUGAGCAGUCAACUUCUGUAUCAAUAACAUUUAAUAGUGUACCCUUCUUGUGGAGAAUGUCAGUGACUGUCUGCUAGGCAACUGUCAAGCAGCCAGUUCAGGUAGUUGGUAAACUAUUCAACAAAAAAAUGGGAACCUCCUUUAACA